AACGCCACAGCAAACAAAUCCCACCUAUACAACCCUACUUCCCGCCUACCUUACCGUCCACAACCUCACACCCGUCGCCAUCGUAGCCGUAGUGGACGAAACAUCUGCUGUUGUUGCUGUUUCUGGACAAUCCUCACCAUCCUCUUGCUCCUCCUCCUCGCUGCCAUUGCUGGUACUGCUCUUUACAUCCUUUACCGACCUCACCGCCCUACCUUCACCAUCACCUCCCUACGCAUCCACCGUCUUAAUCUCACCAC
rnacentral:lncRNA from 1 species